UGACUGCGUACCUUUUGUAUAAUGGGUCAGCGACUUAUAUUCUGUAGCAAGGUUAACCGAAUAGGGGAGCCGGAGGGAAACCGAGUCUUAAUUGGGCGUUAAGUUGCAGGGUAUAGACCCGAAACCCGGUGAUCUAGCCAUGGGCAGGUUGAAGGUUGGGUAACACUAACUGGAGGACCGAACCGACUAAUGUUGAAAAAUUAGCGGAUGACCUGUGGCUGGGGGUGAAAGGCCAAUCAAACCGGGAGAUAGCUGGUUCUCCCCGAAAGCUAUUUAGGUAGCGCCUCGUGAAUUCAUCUCCGGGGGUAGAGCACUGUUUCGGCUAGGGGGCCAUCCCGGCUUACCAACCCGAUGCAAACUGCGAAUACCGGAGAAUGUUAUCACGGGAGACACACGGCGGGUGCUAACGUCCGUCGUGAAGAGGGAAACAACCCAGACCGCCAGCUAAGGUCCCAAAGUCAUGGUUAAGUGGGAAACGAUGUGGGAAGGCCCAGACAGCCAGGAUGUUGGCUUAGAAGCAGCCAUCAUUUAAAGAAAGCGUAAUAGCUCACUGGUCGAGUCGGCCUGCGCGGAAGAUGUAACGGGGCUAAACCAUGCACCGAAGCUGCGGCAGCGAACGUAUCACUUAAAGCGAUUCAGCGGGUUACGAUUGACGGAGCGAAGCGACGUCAAAGCGUAUACAAAGUCGAGUCGGUUUAAGGAUACGUUCGUUGGGUAGGGGAGCGUUCUGUAAGCCUGUGAAGGUGGCCUGUGAGGGUUGCUGGAGGUAUCAGAAGUGCGAAUGCUGACAUAAGUAACGAUAAAGCGGGUGAAAAGCCCGCUCGCCGGAAGACCAAGGGUUCCUGUCCAACGUUAAUCGGGGCAGGGUGAGUCGACCCCUAAGGCGAGGCCGAAAGGCGUAGUCGAUGGGAAACGGGUUAAUAUUCCCGUACUUGGUGUUACUGCGAAGGGGGGACGGAGAAGGCUAUGUUGGCCGGGCGACGGUUGUCCCGGUUUAAGCGUGUAGGUGUGUGUUCCAGGUAAAUCCGGUUCACUUUAACACUGAGGCGUGACGACGAGGCACUACGGUGCUGAAGCAACAAAUGCCCUGCUUCCAGGAAAAGCCUCUAAGCAUCAGGUAACAUCAAAUCGUACCCCAAACCGACACAGGUGGUCAGGUAGAGAAUACCAAGGCGCUUGAGAGAACUCGGGUGAAGGAACUAGGCAAAAUGGUGCCGUAACUUCGGGAGAAGGCACGCUGACAC
rnacentral:rRNA from 1 species